UGAGGAACAUGACCUUCGGCGGGGGAUAGCCGGCCCAACGGCCGGGUAAUACCGCGUACGACCACAUGGGGACAUCCCUGAGUGGUGAAAGCAGCAAUGCGCCGAUGGAGUGCCUCGCGGCCUAUCAGCUAGUUGGUGAGGUAACGGCUCACCAAGGCAACGACGGGUAGCUGGUCUGAGAGGAUGGCCAGCCACAUUGGGACUGCGACACGGCCCAGACCUCUACGGGA
rnacentral:rRNA from 1 species